CCCUACGGGGUGCAGCAGGCGCGAAAACUUCACACUGUGCGAAAGCGCGAUGAGGGAAUCCCAAGUGUUUGCUCGUAAGAGUAAACUGUUUCUUUGUUUAAAACGCAGAGAGAGUAAGGGCUGGGUAAGACGGGUGCCAGCCGCCGCGGUAAUACCUGCAGCUCAAGUGGUGAUCAUUAUUAUUGGGCCUAAAACGUCCGUAGCCGGUUUAGUAAAUGUCUGGGUAAAUCGUGUAGCUUAACUAUACGAAUUCCGGGUAGACUGCUAAACUUGAGACCGGGAGAGGCUAGAGGUACUCCUGGGGUAGAGGUGAAAUUCUGUAAUCCUAGGGGGACCACCAGUGGCGAAGGCGUCUAGCUAGAACGGGUCUGACGGUGAGGGACGAAGCCCUGGGGCACAAACCGGAUUAGAUACCCGGGUAGUCCAGGGUGUAAACGCUGCUUGCUUGAUGUUAGUUGGGCUCCGAGCCCAACUAGUGUCGGAGAGAAGUUGUUAAGCAAGCUGCCUGGGAAGUACGGUCGCAAGGCUGAAACUUAAAGGAAUUGGCGGGGGAGCAC
rnacentral:rRNA from 1 species